CCUACGGGUGGCAGCAGUGAGGAAUAUUGGUCAAUGGGCGAGAGCCUGAACCAGCCAAGUCGCGUGAGGGAGUACUGCCCUAUGGGUUGUAAACCUCUUUUGUCGGGGAGCAAAAGCCGGACGUGUCCGGCUGUGAGAGUACCCGAAGAAAAAGCAUCGGCUAACUCCGUGCCAGCAGCCGCGGUAAUACGGAGGAUGCGAGCGUUAUCCGGAUUUAUUGGGUUUAAAGGGUGCGCAGGCGGAUUUUUAAGUCAGCGGUAAAAUCGUGGGGCUCAACCCCAUCCAGCCGUUGAAACUGGGGAUCUAGAGUGUGCGUGAGGUAUGCGGAAUGCGUGGUGUAGCGGUGAAAUGCAUAGAUAUCACGCAGAACCCCGAUUGCGAAGGCAGCAUACCGGUGCACAACUGACGCUCAGGCACGAAAGCGUGGGUAUCGAACAGGAUUAGAUACCCCUGUAGUC
rnacentral:rRNA from 1 species